ensembl:antisense Gm26850 predicted gene, 26850
AAACAAGAAGAAUGUCACAGUGAGAGCAACUACAUCCGGUGUUCUGCCAUCAAUAUUUCCGAGCAAACGGUCCACUUGAGUGGAUAAAUAUAUCAUGAAGAUUCCUAGUGUAUACUGAGUAGGGACAAGCCAGGACUUGCGACGACCAAAGUUCUUAAAGUAGACGGCAUCAACCAAGGGAGCCCAGAGCAACUUAAGACUGAAUGGCCAGAAGACAAAACUGAAGAAAGCCUGAUCUGUAUAGCUAACAUUUUUGCUUUGCAAAAUGAGGGGGAUGCUCCCCGCCAGGCCUAAGGGAAUGCCCUGAAGCACGUAAAGAAAGAGUAGUAACAAAAUGCUACUUAGUUCGGAUCUAUAGCUCCGCGGGGCUUUAGGUAAGUCACCAGGGCCGGCAUCACCUAGAAGAACUUCCCGGUCCCCCUCCCCGCCCACCGAGUCUCGGCGACUGUCAUCCCAGCCGCCCGGUGGCAGCGGGCCACUCUUCAUAUCCAGAGCGUGGCUAAACAUGCCUGACCGCCGCUGCCGACUGCUGUCCUUGUGGGAGAUGGUCGGUGACAUAUCAGAGACGACGCAGAGCCCGGUGUGUGGGGGCCUGAGGCUGGCGUUUUGAUCAGUCUAGUCCCAGGUCCAAGGCAGUCUCUCUGGACCCGGGUCACGGUGGUUCAACGCCGGGAGGGCGGACGCGGAGAGACUGGUCGCUGUUUUGCAGCAGGGAGCCAGAUCCCUGGCAGGUGGCCCAGGCGAAGCCUGGGUCGCUGCCCACAGGAGCGACUUCAGGGAGCCGGCAAGAGCUCCCCGUGCAGCCGCACCCGGCUUGAGGCUGGCGGAGCGUGCCGUGGCGCUGCGACGGAGUCUGGCUCUUAACUGCAGCGGGGACUCGAACGCUCUCUUGCCCGUCCACCAGCUGACACUGCAGCGGGCACCCUCCUCAGUAGACACCAGAGGUAAAGGAUAACUUCCUGCCUCGCGCUUCGGGAAGUGGUUCCCUGCCAAAAUGGGUUCCGUGCCUCCCGACGGAACCAGCGAAUCAGAACAAGUUCCGGUGGCGGCGACCGCGAGCAACGUUUGCUAGGAACCAUUAAUUCCCUCGAUUCUAACCCCGAGGGAGGAAUAACGCCAGCGUACCGAGCGUCCAGGACGGAACGUCUUAACAAACCCGGUUCCGUUUGCGCAUGCGCUUGCAUGGAACUCGUGUGCCUCGGCCAUUGGGCCCUCGUCGCCACGUGAGCGCGGGUUUUCUGGAUUGGCCUAGGCCUUGGUGAUAACAUUGCACAAGAGCCUACUGAGUUCAAUUAGUGGUUCCCUGCAUGUAUGUGUCUUUGGAGGCUAAUCACUGGAGCAUGGGCAACCUACCAGCAGCCACACAUUCAAUGAAAAAUGACUCUUCUCCCAGCAGCCAACAAUUAUCAACAGCUCCUGAGUUAGGGAUGGAGCCUUCUGAGCCCCUCUCCCAUCAAUGUUCUAAUGUUGACUGGAUUGAUCUUGUUCAGGUAAUGAUAGGUCCUGUGAGUUCAUGAGUGCAAUGGCCAUGUAAUGCUUAGAAGAGUACUACACAGCACAUUCCCUCAUCCUACAGCUGUCACAUUGUACCAUGAGGCUUGUUGGGGUGGCAGGAAAUGGUUAUCAGGUAGGGCUGAACAUUUAACCAUCACUUAUUUUCAGUAUUUUGGUCAGUUGAGUCUUUGUGUGGACUUCUCUCCACUGCAGACAGAAGGUACUUUGACAACGGUUGAAAGCAGCACUAAUGUAUGGGUAUAAUCAUAAAUAUUUAGAGAGCAGUUUGAUGUUUCACAGAAGAACAGUGGUCAGUUUCCCCUCCCAGGACCUCUGAUCUCCUGGGAUGGGCUUUUUUUUUAAAAAAUAUUUUUUAUUAUUACGUAUUUUCCUCAAUUACAUUUAGAAUGCUAUCCCAAAAGUCCCCCGUACCCUCACCCCCACUCCCCGCUUUUUAAAAGGCUUACAAUAGCAUGAAUUCCUUCAUAUGAAGCAAACACAAAUCUAAUCAGUAAGUAGUUUUACUAGCCUAUUUAUUUAUUCCAUUUUUAAAUGAAAAACAUGUAUUUUGACUAGACAUUAUUUAUUUAUUUUUAGAAAGGGCUUCAUAUAGCCCAGGAUAGCCUGAAUCUCACUACAGGCUGGCUUUUAUCAGUAUUUUAAAUAAUUUCUUCCAAAUAUUACUCCUCAGCUAUAGUACUGUUUUUUCUUUAGUGGUUGUGGGGGAUCUUUCUGGAAUAAGCACUCCAACACUAUUGAGAAUGAAGUAAAGAUGCCACCAAGGUAAGAGACUCGGAGUUUCAGAGCAGCCUGAGCUACAUUGUGCAUUUUGAGAUGACCCAGCUCAGAGUCUCUUUUAUAAAGGCAUUAAUUCCUUUCAUGACAGCUCCAUUUCAUGACCUAAUCACUUCUCAAAGGCUCCACAUUCAAAGAUUAGGGGUUAAGACUAAGGAGAAUAAUAUGGGGAGACAUAAUCAUUCUACUUAUGUUAUAUCAGUUCAUCUCCUUCUACAAAAUAGACUCAUUACAUUCCAGUACUCCAAAUGCUUUUACUUGCAUCAACUCUAAAUCCAAAGCCUCAUCUACAUAUCGUGUAAAUCAGAUAUGGGUAAUGUGGUUAAUAUCAAUUGUCAACUUGACCAAAUCUAGACUCAUUAAAGAGGCAAGCCUGUAAAG